ACGGGAAGCCUGUGGCUUAAUUUGACUCAACACGGGAAAACUUACAGGUCAGACAUAGUGAGGAUUGACAGAUGAGAGCUCUUUCUUGAUUCUUAUGGGUGGUGGUGCAUGGCGUUCUUAGUUGGUGGGUUGCCUGUCAGGUUGAUUCCGGUAACGAACGAGACCUCAGCCUGCUAAAUAGUACGCCCGGUUUUCCGAGGCGCCUACUUCUUAGAGGGACUAUCUGCGUCUAGCAGAUGGAAGCAUGAGGCAAUAACAGGUCUGUGAUGCCCUUAGAUGUUCUGGGCCGCACACGCGCUACACUGACGCGAUCAGCGAGCCUAGCCUUGGCCGAGAGGUCCGGGUAAUCUUGCAAACCGCGUCGUGAUGGGGAUAGAUUAUUGCAAUUAUUAAUCUUCAACGAGGAAUGCCUAGUAAGCGCGAGUCAUCAGCUUGCGUUGAUUACGUCCCUGCCCUUUGUACACACCGCCCGUCGCUCCUACCGAUUGGGUGUGCUGGUGAAGCGUUCGGAUUGGCGCGUUGUGGCGGUUUCCGCUGCGGCGCGCCGAGAAGUUCUCUAAACCCUCCCACCUAGAGGAAGGAGAAGUCGUAACAAGGUCUCCGUA
rnacentral:rRNA from 1 species